rnacentral:rRNA from 1 species
GCGACCCCAGGAUGGGCAG